GGCUUCAUCUGUCACUUAUGGAUGGACCCGCGUCGCAUUAGCUAGUUGGUGAGGUAACGGCUCACCAAGGCAACGAUGCGUAGCCAACCUGUAAGGGUGAUCGGCCACACUGGGACUGAGACACGGCCCAGACUCAUACGGGAGGCAGCAGUAGGGAAUCUUCCGCAAUGGACGAAAGUCUGACGGAGCAACGCCGCGUGAGUGAUGAAGGCUUUCGGGUCGUAAAACUCUGUUGUUAGGGAAGAACAAGUGCUAGUUGAAUAAGCUGGCACCUUGACGGUACCUAACCAGAAAGCCACGGCUAACUACGUGCCAGCAGCCGCGGUAAUACGUAGGUGGCAAGCGUUAUCCGGAAUUAUUGGGCGUAAAGCGCGCGCAGGUGGUUUCUUAAGUCUGAUGUGAAAGCCCACGGCUCAACCGUGGAGGGUCAUUGGAAACUGGGAGACUUGAGUGCAGAAGAGGAAAGUGGAAUUCCAUGUGUAGCGGUGAAAUGCGUAGAGAUAUGGAGGAACACCAGUGGCGAAGGCGACUUUCUGGUCUGUAACUGACACUGAGGCGCGAAAGCGUGAGGAGCAAACAGGAUUAGAUACCCUGGUAGUCCACGCCGUAAACGAUGAGUGCUAAGUGUUAGAGGGUUUCCGCCCUUUAGUGCUGAAGUUAACGCAUUAAGCACUCCGCCUGGGGAGUACGGCCGCAAGUCUAAAACUCAUAGGAAUUGACGGGGGCCCGCACAAACCGUGGAACAUUGCGGUUAAAUUCGAAGCCACCCGAAAGAACCUUACCAGGUCGUGAAAUCUUCUGACAAACCUUAGAGAAAGGGGUUCCCCUUCGGGGACCAAAUUUACAGAGGGGGCAUGGUUGUUCCCCACCCCGAGCCGUGAGAAUGUUGGGAAAAGUCUCCAAACAGGGGCAACCCUUUGACCUAA
rnacentral:rRNA from 1 species